rnacentral:misc_RNA from 1 species
CGACCUGCGGGAAAUUCUAGCAAGAAAAGUUUAUGAUCAGGAGAAGUUACCUAUCCAUAGAAAAUAUCGUUGAACUUAAAGAAAGAAUAAAAUCCGCAUGGACGGAUAUUCAAGGCGAAACUUUAUUAUAGGCUUUAUAGGCGAAAGUUUAUAUUUGUUCAAAGCAAAAAGAACACAGUUUCAAGAGGAAAUUUGAUUUUAAUUUCUCUAGGCAAUAACCUUUGUAUUGAGAAAAGCAGAACGCGGUUCUUUAUGCGGCCAUAUGCAAGACAACUGAGUAACCAGUAACAUCCACAUGAGUCGUAGGUAUCGUGGAUGAAUUUAACCGGAAACGACGACGACUUUCCAACUACAAGUUUCGAUCGGACACGGAAUUUAAGGGAAGAAGACAGGACACGGACGAUCGAAGUACAACCGUGCGACACUCGUUUCGAGCGAGCCUCCCGAUAGCGUGUUUAUCAAACUCCUCGCUUCCGAGAACUUUCACCGUGCGACAGUCAAGUCACCGAGUUUAUAAAUUUCGAUAUUUUACACGACGAUAUGGAACGACAAACCGUGUAAUAAAUCAGAACUGUGUAAUGUUUCAUUCGUUAGACGAACGCCAUUGUGAAACAUAAAGUCUUGGUAUUUUUU